GGCGAACGCUGGCGGCGUGCUUAACACAUGCAAGUCGAGCGGUAAGGCCCUUUCGGGGGUACGACGAGCGGCGAACGGGUGAGUAACACGUGGGUGACCUGCCCUCAGCUCUGGGAUAAGCCUGGGAAACCGGGUCUAAUACCGGAUAUGACUCCAUGACGCAUGUUGUGGGGUGGAAAGCCUUGUGCGGCUGAGGAUGGGCCCGCGGCCUAUCAGCUUGUUGGUGGGGUGAUGGCCUACCAAGGCGACGACGGGUAGCCGGCCUGAGAGGGCGACCGGCCACACUGGGACUGAGACACGGCCCAGACUCCUACGGGAGGCAGCAGUGGGGAAUCUUGCGCAAUGGGCGAAAGCCUGACGCAGCGACGCCGCGUGAGGGAUGACGGCCU
rnacentral:rRNA from 1 species